AAUCGAUUGUGCACUACACCAGGAACGGAACACAAUGGCGAAGAAUUGGAGGCCCAUCCCCUUGCCCCCACAAAACAAGUCCGUGGAAGCAUAUUCCCUUUGCAUGCCGCAACAUCAGCGGCGAUUGAAUCAGGAAACGCCGCCAAGGAAACCCGCGAAGAGUCCUCGGUAGCGCGCGAAACACUGCCUUCGCUACUCUACCACGCCACUGCUGCCGAUUCAUCGUCCUCUCUCUGCCGUCAAACUUUUGCCUCUCAUCCACAGUUCCUGAAACCCAUACUCCCUCAUCCAAGGUGUGUGAAAUCCUAACCUCUGCUCCACCUCGCGCCUCUGUGUGGGUUGUCAAUUUGCGCAGUUUCCAUCCGUGCUUCUCCCACUGACGUCAAACGAGCCCAUCCCCUCGAUCGUGCGUAAAACCGUUACACCCUCCUUCACCGUGCUCCAAUCUCAUCCAUCACUGCCUCUCUCCUGUCACUGGACUGUAAAAUUGCACUAAGCAGAGAAGCUCACACUCUGAUCAAGGUAUUAUCUUAUACCCAUUAAUUGAUUCUCCACAACCGACACGCUAGCUAGUUUCUCCAACAACAAGCAUUGUAAGAUUAAAGUACCAACAAUAUUUCGAUUUCGAUGGCACAAUCAAGCUGGCAAGACUAAGAGUGAGGGAGGCUAUGGAACGGCCUAACGGUAGAAAGAUCGUGCUCAGGUUCAACAAUGGAAAGCAAGCAAUUGGAAACGAAACUGGACUGUUGAGUGGCGUGCUUGGUCUGCUAGGAUCUGACUUUGGAAAAUUUCCUAUCUGUGAGGAAAGUUCGCGUAAGAUUACCACUAAGGACAAGGUUUAUAACGAAUGUGUCAAGCAAAUUUUUCACUUUGAUGAAGAUAGCGAAGGAACUAUCAAAAAAAAUAUUUUGAAAAGUAUGCAAAAGUCUUGGAAGGAAACAAGGUUGAGGUUGUAUAAGGCUUUUUACGAGCCAACAUUCACGACUGAACAAAAUAUUGAUCACCGUCCGCCGGAAAUCGAUCGAGAGCAUUGGAGAUGGUUCCUUGACUAUCGCGCCAAAGUUGAGACGAAGACCAAUAGGAGAAGUGCAAGAAAAAUGCGAAGAAUCGAUCAAAACAACUAUAUACCCACACUGGCAGUUCGAAAAGCUUUGCACAGCGGAUGAAAGAAUCAGAGGAAGCUGCUUGAACUGCAGGCAGAGCUGGAAGGCGAAAAGUUGAGGAAGGCGAUGGAGGAUGAGGCAGCAGUAGAGAAGAAAAAGAUGAAGGUGAUGGAGAGUGCUAUGAUUUAUCUGUUUCAACAGCAAGGUGAGGAGCUACCACCAGACAUCGCUGCAGGGAUGCGUUUCGUGGAAUGAUAGAGUGAAAAAUAGAAUAUUAGGAUUGGAGAUAUUUUAGAUUUAAGCAAACAUUUUAUUGAAUUAGACUGAGCAACUCUUUGAAAAAGAUUUAUUUUCUUCGUAUUUUGAUGAAUAUAUUAUUUUGUUUGGCUUA